rnacentral:rRNA from 1 species
GAUGAACGCUGGCGGCGUGCCUAACACAUGCAAGUCGAGCGAACGGACGAUGCUCUUGCUUUUCUCAUGUUACCAGCGGAUGGGUGAGUAACACGUGGAUUACCUUCCUCUACGACUUGGAUAACUUCGAGUAACUCUAGUUCCUACCAGAUAAUAUUUUUAAUCUGAUGGUUCGAAAGUUAUAUCCGUUCUUGCUGUCAUUUAUAGCUGUCUCCUCGCUGCAUUAGCUAGUUGGUAACGUAACGGCUUCCCAAGGCGACAAUGGAUAGCCGACCUGAGAGGGUGAACGGCCACAGAGGAAGUGAGACGCGGUACAGAGUCCGAGGGGAGGCAGAAGUAGGGAAGCGUGCGAGAAGGGGGAAAGACUGAAGGAGCAGCGCAGCGUGAGUGAUGAAGGGCUGCGGAGCGGAAAACGCUGUUAUGAGGGAAGAACAUAUGUGUAAGUGACGGAGCAUAUCGUGACGGUACCUAGUCAGAAAGCAACGGCUAACUACGUG